AGUUCUUAGAGUCUUAAAUUUUCUUCGAAUCAGGCAUGGAAUAAUCUCAUCCUGGCAGUGCUAGCCAAUCCUCACAGCUUUCUCUUCCAGAAAGACAAAGGCAAGGAGGACAUCCAAACACUGAAAAACGAGGAAGAAGCAGAACUUGAAGUCCAAAUGGCCUUUCAAAUUUACACAGGAUUUGAAGUGAAUAUCUCAGACCCUCAGACCAUUCUUUAUUAUUGCAUGCACAGGAUUUAAAAUACAUAUCCAGAUUUGAAUUGACGUCUUGAAUAUUUUUCCCUGAUGGCAUCAUUUUUUUUUUUCCCAGGAAUGAAAGAAAAGAAAAAAAGAUGUGAAAAAGAUUGCAUGAAAGAUUUUGAUUACAAAUGUUAUCACUUGAUUUAAUCAGUCUAUCUUGAUGAGUACACGACAUUUAAUCUAGUGCUGUUUUGAUCCUCUUUCUCUUCAUCAUUAUUGUACUGUUUGUCUUAUUAUUUCUCAUAUAAAUGUUAAAGAAUUAACUCAGUGUCUGUUGUGAUAGGACAAGGGGAAAUGGUUUCAAUCAGAAAGAGGGAAGACUUAAGUUUGUUGUAAGGAAAAGUCCUUCACAGUGGGGGUGAUGAGGCACUGGAACAGGUUGCCAAGAGAUGUGGU
rnacentral:lncRNA from 1 species